rnacentral:rRNA from 1 species
UACGUAGGGGGCAAGCGUUGUCCGGAUUUAUUGGGCGUAAAGAGCGUGUAGGCGGCCAAACAGGUCCGUUGUGAAAACUGGAGGCUCAACUUCCAGACGUCGACGGAAACCGUGUGGCUAGAGUCCGGAAGAGGAGAGUGGAAUUCCUGGUGUAGCGGUGAAAUGCGCAGAUAUCAGGAAGAACACCCGUGGCGAAAGCGGCGCUCUGGUGACGGUACCGACGCUGAGACGCGAAAGCGUGGGGAGCGAACAGG